CCGGUAUGAAAGCACUUCACACAUGCUUUCCACCAUUAUUUUCAUGUUACUACCACCAUUGGUAUAACCUCUUUAAAAUAAUAUGCAACGUGUACAGAAAGUUCAUUACCAUAUGCAUUUCCCACUUGAUGUAAUUUCAAAUUGCUGUGUUCCACUUUUGGGCCAUAUAUCUGGCAGUAAUUCAAACAAAUAUAGUUUUGCCAGGAGUUCUAGCUAACGUCUCUUCCCGGUCCUUGAGAUCACAUCCGCUUGGUUUUGCAUGUCCUAUUGUUUGAAACUUGCUGCCUAUUAGAACCUCCUUAGUUCUCUCAAUACUUUUACUUUUAUUACUGCCAUAUUAAUUAUCUUGUUGCUGAGUCCUGUUUUGAUGAUUAUGCACAAAGUAUUCAGUUGUUAUGGUACCUAAAUGAGUAGUUUGCUUGCUGGCGUAUCACAUGACGUAAAAUACUUCUCUUCAUCAACUGUUGCAAUCUUUUUAACAUAGCAGUUGCUUUGCAAAAAAUAAUAUGUAAGUUUUGCAUGGUAGGAAGAACUGUUAAUGUAUAAUCCAUAGACCUGGAAUAAGCUUGCUACUACAUAGAGAUUAAGAAAUUAAGUCAAUAAAAAGGGAAAAAAAACUUGCUAUUACAUACAGAUCAAGAAAUUAAGUCAAAAAAUGGAGAAUAAAAGAAUGGUACCUUCAGUGUGGCCAAAUUGAAAGGUUGGAUGUGAUAGUAUGCCAAGAUUGUUAGGUUUACAUAGAAUCUUUCGUGAGAACCAUUGCCAUUGUAAGAUCAUCCACAAAGAAUACCAUCAAUGCAUAUGUAUUAUCAUCCUGUGUACAAAAAUAGCGGGCAACAAAUUAACCAAUAAAAACCUGCUCAUAGCAUAAACAGCUAAACCUAAAUAGGACCACAUAUAUCAUUCAUGUUGAACUAAUAAUGAGCAGCAAACCAAGAACAGGGAGGAUCAGUGGCUAGAUCAAAUAGGUACACUUGCAUAUAGUAGAUGGAAAUCAUAGUACAACACAAAGGGAAAAAUCGUUCAUUGCUUUAAGUAGAACUGCAUACCAAAUAGGGUUUAGCCGAGUCGUCGCCAUACGUUGGUAUAGUCAUGGCUUGUUAUUGUUGUCCUAGUCGUGGCCGAGCCGCCGCUCUCAAUCUCUCUUGUCGUCCCUGGCGUCCUAGCCAUCACUCGGAUCUGGCACUUAAUGGAGUGGAGAGCGAUUAGAAGAGGGCGAGGGCAAGGGCGAGGGAGGCGAUGGUGGGGUGGAGAUGGAAGAGGAGAAGAUGGUGGCGGCGACUCGUGUCCCUCGCUUCCCUGUCGCCAGAUCCACCGGUGACUUAUGCGACGGCCUCUCUCGGAGAGAGCGGCGGAGGCGCGGUGAAGAUGGCUGGAGGAGGGUGAGGAGGCACGCGGGUGAGGAUGGGUGGCGGCGCUAGUUGUGACGACGCGGGUGAGAGGAGGAGGACGGCUAGGGUUUUGGUGCGGUGUGGUGACAUCUGCGCCGUUCAUUCCCUAUCUGACGAGCGCACGGUUUAGGAAGCCACAAAGGGACACGUGGGUUUGUCAGGUCGACGUUAGUGCGAGAUCCAACGGACGACAGCAAUGGGGCCUGGCACGUAAUUAACAGAACUGCGGGGGCAUUUUUUGCAAAAGUGAUAGCUGACGUGGCAUCCCUACUUCCAGCAAUCCCACGGCAUUUAGAGAGAUUAAUAUAUCCAGCGGUCCAAAACCAAAUUGGUGUGUUGGCUGGUUAAGAGUGAGUGCAACUUCUAUACAGUCGCAUGUGCCUGUUAAAUAUAGUUGUUAGUGCUCUACUUGAAAAAGUUGCUGUUAUUUGUUUAAAUCUUAUGCUUUAGCUGGAAAACAGUAUAAUCUCUAAAGCAGCAUCGGCAUUUUCGAAGAGCUUAACAUUUGGUUGAUUAUAUGCAGCUUGACGCAUGUGCACAUCCCUUCUUUGAUGAGCUACGAGAGCCCAAUGCACACCUGCCAUGGCAAAUGGUCGUCCAUUCCCUCCUCUGUUCAACUUCAAGCAUGAAGUAAGUAAACGAGAACAUUUUCGAACAGUCGCUUUUUAUGUUACAUUUAUAUUUACCUGUCAUGGAUGCUUAUCAAUGCUCAUUUCUGCAAUGCAGCUAGCUGGCGCCUCUCCAGAACUCGUCCACAGAUUCAUACCGUACCAUAUCAGACGGCAACAUGGCCUCAACUUGCGCAUGCUGGGAGUUAGAAUGGCACCGUUUUGUUCGUUUAUUUUUCCAUGAGCUGGACAUUGCAAUCCUAGAUGACUCCAUUGUCUUGGACUUGGGACUCCAUCUCAGAUUGCACCAUCCAUGAUUCUUCCAUGAUCUAUCCAUCCGUCCAGCCAUUUCAGCAAGGACUCAGUACCAGAGAAGUACAAUUAUGUAAAUUAUCUAGCCAUGGAGAAAUGCGUGCUGCUGCUGCUGGUGUUAAGUACGUGACGGGGUAUGCUGGUUGAGUAGUAGGUAAGGUUAAGGAUAAAUGUAGUUGGUGGAGACUGAGAGACAUGUUAAGCUAGGGGAAGCUUUCUUUUUUUCUCCUUUCAUUUUGGUUUCUUCCCAUUUUGUGAUCUUAGCAUUGCCCUACAGUAGUGUAGCUGCUCCCUGUUUUUGUUUGCUCUUUCAUCAUGUAAAUGCCAAUCCCAAUCCCAAUCGCAAUGAACCCUCUUCCUUUACAUCCUGGUCUACUCCCUGUGAGUCUUAGGUCUGUGAGUUUGUGCUGCUGGUUCUCCAUUCAAGGUGCCUUGGGUGUGCGUUCUGAUCGAUUUGGCGUGACGUGUUUGUUUCCACAGGGAAGGACUGCAAGGAGAAGCACCCUAACGUCAAGCAGGUAUCUUGUGGCGCAUUUGGGUUGCUCUGCUGCGUUAACUGCUACAAUGUGUGUUCUGACUUGGUUGAUUUGGUGGUGACAAGUGCAAGUCCAUGUCUGAUGCUGUGAGUUCCUCACUUCCUGUGCCCAUGUUCUGAACCGUUCCAUAUGCAUUUCUCACUUGAUGUAAUUUCAAAUUUUGGGCCAUAUAUCUGGUAGUUUUGGGCCAUAUAUCUGGUAGUAAUUCAAACAAAUAUAGUUUUACCUGGAGUUCUAGCUAACAUCUCUUCCCGAUCCUUGAGAUCACAUCCGUUUGGUUCUGCAUGUCCUAUUGUUUGAAACUUGCUGCCUAUUAGAACCUCCUUAGUUGUCUCAAUACUUUUACUUUUAUUACUGCCAUAUUAAUUAUCUUGUUGCUGAGUCCUGUUUUGAUGAUUAUGCACAAAGUAUCCAGUUGU
rnacentral:lncRNA from 1 species